UGCCAGCCGCCGCGGUAAUACGGAGAGUGCAAGCGUUGUUCGGAAUCAUUGGGCGUAAAGGGCGUCUAGGUGGCCUGGCAAGUCAGAUGUGAAAUCCCUCGGCUUAACCGAGGACGUGCAUUUGAAACUGCUAGGCUUGAGUGUCGGAGGGGGUAGCGGAAUUCCCGGUGUAGAGGUGAAAUUCGUAGAUAUCGGGAGGAACACCAGUGGCGAAGGCGGCUUCCUGGACCAACACUGACGCUGAGGUGCGAAAGCGUGGGUAGCAAACAGGAUUAGAUA
rnacentral:rRNA from 1 species